GUCACUGGAUCCAGCAGUCACCAGCCUCUGACAGAACAGAGGUGGGCUGAUAAAUUACAAUCUCCUCACUGACCUCUCAGACUCAACCCCUUCCGAGUAUGAACUGAACCUAUAAAGAGAGUGACCGUGGCAUAGGAAAGAAAAGACAUUGGGUAAGACAAAACACCACUUUGCUCUGAGAAAGGAUUCCCCGACCAUGUCCUUGCACUCUACACUCCUGUCUCCUCCUGACCCAAGAUGGAUAUGGGAAGCAGAGAGAGGUUUCCUGCUGUAGCCUCAAAGCAGUUCUCCAAUGUCACUUCUAAGGGAGACAUGUAUGGUCUGGUGUGAGAAGGGACCUCAGAGCCUUCUGCAUACAGAUAUGAAGGAAAGCUCCCUCUUCUUCCCUUCAAAGCCCCAUUGUGGCUGCAUACGGCCAUGAUGAUACACCUCCCCUAAUGAAGCCUCUCUGGACUGAAGAACCACUGUCCCUCCUCAGGGCCCCAUCUCUUAAGAACAUUUUAUGAAGGAUAAUUAAAUGUCAGCACCUUUCCACAAA